CUCUCUCUAUCUCCCCUCUCAAACCCUAACCACAUCCUCCUCUCAAAUCCCCUCGGUUUGACCGUAGAUUUCUCUCCGGUUACACCGUGAAGCACGAGGUGUUCUUCGAUUUGCACAAAUAGAGGGUAGUUCUUGGUGCAAAUCCCCUCCAUUCAACCGAGAUGCCUCCUCGUACUCGUCGCCAGCUUGCUCAAGAUCCUGCCAGUGAGUCAGAUGUAGAGUCUGAUAAUUCUAGUGCUGAGUAGUAUGCUCAAAGUGACGAAGAGGCUGAAGAAAACGUUGAGGAAGGUAUUGAAGAGGAAAGUGGAGAGGAUGGCAGCGGUAAUGAAGAAAAUGAGGAUGACGAGAGUGAUGAGAUAAAGAUUGAUCCCUCCAUCCAAUUUGUAGUAAACAUAAGGAAUCCGACAUAGUACACUAUCUUAAGGCAUCAUGAUCAGUUCUUAAGGCCUAAAGACACUACAAAUCCCAGAUUCCACACUGCAUUCCAGAAGACAGUG